GACGAACGCUGGCGGCGUGCUUAACACAUGCAAGUCGAACGGUAAGGCCCUUCGGGGUACACGAGUGGCGAACGGGUGAGUAACACGUGGGUGAUCUGCCCUGCACUUCGGGAUAAGCCUGGGAAAAUGGGCCUAAUACCGGAUAGGACUCCGGACUGCAUGGUCUGGGGUGAAAAGCGUUUGCGGUGUGGGAUGGGCCCGCGGCCUAUCAGCAUGUUGGUGGGGUGAUGGCCAACCAAGGCGACGACGGGUAGCCGGCCUGAGAGGGUGACCGGCCACACUGGGACUGGGAUACGGCCCAGACUCCUACGGGAGGCAGCAGUGGGGAAUAUUGCACAAUGGGCGCAAGACUGAUGCAGCGACGCCGCGUGAGGGAUGACGGCCUUCGGGUUGUAAACCUCUUUCAGCAUCGACGAAGCGAAAGUGACGGUAGGUGCAGAAGAAGGACCGGCCAACUACGUGCCAGCAGCCGCGGUAA
rnacentral:rRNA from 1 species